GCCAAGUGGUCAGCACAGACAGCUGAAGGAUGAGGGGGAAUUAUUAAAAUAAACUGCUUGCAAUGCUUCAUUUAUUCUGCAGGACUCCAGUCGUGUCUCACACAUCUGGCAUCGGAGACACACACCUUGUUGAUGCAACGGACAUGAUAUGGCAGUACCAAUCAGCCCUGCAACACAGACCCUGUGUAACCACACCAGCCCAGAACCUCCACAUCUCAUCUGCGCGAUCGUCUGAGAGCAGCCGUCCAACGUGCUGAUGAAACUGCAUUUGCAAACUGAAGAAUGUCUGCAACCUGAAGAAUGUCUGCAAACUGAAGACUCGGCAAAAACUGUUAGAAACCACCUCAGGGAAGCUCAUCUGCAUGGUUUUUGUCAAACCAGAUACUAACUGGUUUUCUGAUCCACGGCCCUAAGUAUUUUUUUGGUUACCUGUGACAAACAGCUGCAUAUCUGUAUUCCCAGUCCUGUGAAAUCCAUAUGUUAGGGUCUAAUUAAUUUAAUUUGACUGAUUCCCCUGUAUUAACUUUAAUUCAAUGAAAUUGUUGCAUGUUGCAUUUAUUUUUAUAUUCUAUAUAAAUAUUUGAUAAAUUUUUCUUACAAAUAUGGAGUGCAGUAUAAUUUCCCUAAUGACUCAAUCUGAAACACACUGUAGCAAACUAUUAUCAGAUUGGGUUUUUGAUAUGUAUUGCAGUUUGAGAUUCUGUCCCUCUAGUUGUGUACUUUUUUGGGGAGAAUUUGGGGGCAUGGUUUAGCAUAUAGUCAGAGCAAGGCAUUUGUGUAGUUUGGCAAACAUGUUAGUGUAGUAUUACAUCAUUUUGCUACAAAUCGUUUAUUCAUGAAUUAAUGUUAGUUUAAGUGCUGUCUGGGGUACUGAUAUGUCUUACCAACCUGCAAAAUCUCAAUGACGCGCACAUCGUGCAUGUUUCUUAACUCCCAUCCCAGCUGGGUAAUGUCAGCUUGCGAAACACUUGGGUCUGAACAAAAAACAUCCAAGGCUAGAGCCCUGAAAAUCCAGGUGUGUUGACGGCCCUGAGCCCAACAAGGCAAAGUUACAGAAAUGUCUGUCAGAAAGUGAAACAAACCUUUCAACACAUUUGAGUUCAUGAUAUUUGACUUGUGGAAAAAAGGACACCUAGGAAUGGUGGAUCAUGGGAAAACAGACCUCAACCGCGUUCAUAUCCUCUUCCAUCUUCAAACAUGCCCUCCACGGCAACACCUUCGACCCAAUAGGGUUUUCCAUUGGAAGCCGCCCCCCCCCGGACAAACUUGGCGGUUUAGCUCGUCCCUGGAGGGGGUGUUGGAAUGGUGCGGAUUUGGGGGUGCUGUUUGUACCCCACGGUGAGCGUGCCCUGUGUCAGCCACUCGCACUCACUUCCUGUUUAUGGAGGUGCACUGGUCCUGGCAAACACUGUCGCUCAGCUUAUCUCUUGUGUUUUAUGUUCCACCCGGUUGGGGCACAAGCAGCCCUUUGUGGCUAAGAGGUGGCUGGUCCUGGGCCAGGCCAGCCCAUGCAGCUGUUGUCCACUGUUAGACAUUUCCGUGUUGGGCGACCCUCAGUGUGCUGCUUGCCUGCCUUGGGCCCUGGGGGCUCGGAGAAGGCUGCUCACAAGGUUCAGGGCUGGGGGUAGAGGUAGAG
ensembl:lncRNA